GGACUACUGGGGUAUCUAAUCCUGUUUGAUCCCCACGCUUUCGUGCCUCAGCGUCAAUAUAUGCGUAGUGAGCUGCCUUCGCAAUGGGUGUUCUAUGUCAUCUCUAAGCAUUUCACCGCUACAUGACAUAUUCCGCUCACCUCCACAAUAUUCAAGACAGAUAGUAUCAAUGGCAGUUUUCGGGUUAAGCCCAAAGAUUUCACCACUGACUUACCUGCCCGCCUACGCACCCUUUAAACCCAGUGAAUCCGGAUAACGCUUGCACCCUCCGUAUUACCGCGGCUGCUGGCAC
rnacentral:rRNA from 2 species